rnacentral:rRNA from 1 species
AUCCUGGCUCAGGAUGAACGCUGGCGGCGUGCCUAAUACAUGCAAGUCGAGCGAUGAGGCUCCUUCGGGAGUACAUCAGCGGCGAACGGGUGAGUAACACGCAGGUGACUUGCCCCGAAGAUGGGGAUAACCUCUGGAAACGGGGGCUAAUACCCAAUGUGCUCGGUGAUUCGGUUGAUCGAAUAAAGCUCCGGCGCUUCGGGAGAGGCCUGCGGCCCAUCAGCUAGUUGGUAGGGUAACGGCCUACCAAGGCAGAGACGGGUAGGGGGCGUGAGAGCGCGGACCCCCACACUGGCACUGCGACACGGGCCAGACUCCUACGGGAGGCAGCAGUAAGGAAUAUUGCGCAAUGGACGAGAGUCAGACGCAGCGACGCCGCGUGGGCGAUGAAGGCCUUCGGGUUGUAAAGCCCUUUUAUGGGGGAAGAGAAAAAGGACGGUACCCCAUGAAUAAGUCCCGGCUAACUACGUGCCAGCAGCCGCGGUAAAACGUAGGGGACAAGCGUUAUCCGGAUUCACUGGGCGUAAAGAGCGUUGAGGCGGUUCCGUAAGUUGGGCGUGAAAGCUCCGGGCUUAACCCGGAGAUGUCGUUCAAUACUGCGGGGCUUGAGGACAGCAGAGGAAGGUGGAAUUCCCGGUGUAGUGGUGAAAUGCGUAGAUAUCGGGAGGAACACCCGUGGCGAAGGCGGCCUUCUGGGCUGUUCCUGACGCUGAAGGCGAAAGCUAGGGGAGCGAACGGGAUUAGAUACCCCGGUAGUCCUAGCUGUAAACGAUGGAUGCUGGGUGUGGGGGNGUGUAAAUUCCCUCUGUGCCGAAGCAAACGCGUUAAGCAUCCCGCCUGGGGACUACGGCCGCAAGGCUAAAACUCCAACGAAUUGACGGGGGCCCGCACAAGCAGCGGAGCGUGUGGUUUAAUUCGAUGCUACACGAAGAACUUUACCUGGGUUUGACAUGCACGUGGUAGGGAACCGAAAAGGGACCGACCUUCGGGAGCGUGCACAGGUGCUGCAUGGCUGUCGUCAGCUCGUGCCGUGAGGUGUCGGGUUAAGUCCCGUAACGAGCGCAACCCCUUGCCCUUAGUNUACAAAGUGUCUAAGGGGGACUGCCCGGGACAACUGGAGGAAGGUGGGGGAUGACGUCAAG